rnacentral:rRNA from 1 species
GGGCAAGUCUGGUGCCAGCAGCCGCGGUAAUUCCAGCUCCAAUAGCGUAUAUUAAAGUUGUUGCAGUUAAAAAGCUCGUAGUUGAACUUCGGGGUUCGCCCAUUGGUCAGGCUUAACUGUCUGUACUGGUGGGACGAAUUCCUACCUUCUGAGGAAUCUCCAUGCCAUUAAUUUGGUGUGGUGGGGAAUCAGGACCAUUACUUUGAAAAAAUUAGAGUGUUUAAAGCAGGCUAACGUCUGAAUACAUUAGCAUGGAAUAAUGAAAUAGGACGGCUUGGUUCUAUUUUGUUGGUUUCUAGGAUCACCGUAAUGAUUAAUAGGGAUAGUUGGGGGCAUUAGUAUUCAAUUGUCAGAGGUGAAAUUCUUGGAUUUAUUGAAGACUAACUACUGCGAAAGCAUUUGCCAAGGAUGUUUUCAUUAAUCAAGAACGAAAGUUAGGGGAUCGAAGACGAUCAGAUACCGUCGUAGUCUUAACCAUAAACUAUGCCGACUAGGGAUCGGACGAAGUUAAUUUUUAAAUGACUCGUUCGGCGCCUUACGGGAAAC